CAUCGCGAUGCUCUUCACCAUGGAGAGAUCGUGAUGAGGAUACUUUCAAAGCGCCAGCUCAAGGAGUUGGUCCUGUACUCGCCGCAACACGUCGCGAGGCUGGAGAAGGCCGGAGCAUUCCCCAAGCGGGUCAACCUCGGGCCGAACCGGGUCGGAUGGGUCGAAAGUGAAGUGCUGGAAUGGCUCGAAGAGCGGAUCAUGCGCCGCGAUACCUGACGACACUCCCCUUGUGGGAGCGCGGGUGGCCGGGUCUGCAGA
rnacentral:ncRNA from 1 species